rnacentral:rRNA from 1 species
AGCUCCAAUAGCGUAUAUUAAUGUUGUUGCAGUUAAAAAGCUCGUAGUUGAAUUUCGGCGUUUCGCCUGUCCAGGAAGACUCAGGAUACCCCAAGGGUUUCUUUUGUAUGAACGGACUUUUACUGUGAACAAAUUAAAGUGCUCAGAGCAGGCUUUUGCUUGAAUAGUUUAGCAUGGAAUAAUAAAAUACGACUUCGUUCAUUUUAUUGGUUAUUGAAUGAGGUAAUGAUUAACAGGAACAGUUGGGGGCAUUCGUAUUUGAUAGCUAGAGGUAAAAUUCUAUGAUUUAUCAAGGACGAACUAAUGCGAAAGCAUUUGCCAAGGAUGUUUUCAU